GAGGAGCUGGGAGGAACUGAAGGCCCUCCAAAGAAAAGUCUGUUCAAUAAGCUAAGUGUUUCUGCUAGGUUAGGGCACUGGGUUGGCCUGUGAUAGAGGAGAAGGGUGCUGGAUGACCAUGUAAGAAAAAGCAGUUCAGCUUUAGAAAAGCCACCAAACUGCUGAAGUGCCACAGGUGAUGCCAGGGUUAGAGGGGAUGUCAAGAAGAGAGGAGAGGCAUCUCAAAAUGGCAGCCAAGGAAGAAACCAGUGAGUCCCCUUUCUCUCAAAGCAUCUGUGCUAGAGAAGAACAGUGACAGAGCACCUGAGACGCAGAGAGCCGUUUUCGUCUUCCUGCGACCUUGCUGCUUUGUGGCAGGAAAGCUCCCUGAAACAUGCAGACUUCAGUGAAACAACACCUGUGUGCAAACCGCAGUGGGGGUCGGAGCAAGGAAAGAAAGCCCCAUCUCAGCAAGCAAGAACGUCAGGUUAAAAGCAGCACCAGGCUUGGCUGUCUUUUUGAGACACCACUGCACGCUGGCUCUGUUUGAGCCGAUGCUGGUUGAAUGUGGCUGCUUGAAAAGCUUCAUCUUCAGAAAGCUGAAGGCAUUGUGCCAGAGAUCCCGCACAUCAGGCUUCAAACCCAAGCUGUCAGGAUUGGGAAAUUUACAGAGCUCAGCUGCACCGAGGGACAGCUGGGUGCAACGCCGAUCUAAUCCAGAUUAUAAAGCUCCUGGGGUUUGCUCAGAGGGAAUUUCGAUGCGUGCAGUCACAGCAUAGCACCCCUGCCGCGAUUCUUUUCUGGCAGUAUGAGCAUCCGUGGUCUUUCCCCAUCUCACGUGUGCAGAUGUGUGCUCUUUCCAUCGUUUCCUCCUUGCUUCUCAUGGGAGCUUGCAGAUUCAAGCAUGAAAUCUGUACAAACAAAUGCUUUUUACAUGUUAUACUGUGUGGCUGUGUUGUAUACACUUACGCUGUAAUUUAAUCACUUCCUUGCAGCUCCCUUCCUUGUGUGAGCAUCCUACUCUCCUGGCCAAUGCAUGUGUGCAAUAAACAUUU
ensembl:lncRNA